rnacentral:rRNA from 2 species
AUGCAAGUCGAGCGGUAAGGCCCUUCGGGGUACACGAGCGGCGAACGGGUGAGUAACACGUGGGUGAUCUGCCUCGUACUUCGGGAUAAGCCUGGGAAACUGGGUCUAAUACCGGAUAGGACCUCUUGUCGCAUGGCUUGGGGUGGAAAGAUUUAUCGGUGCGAGAUGGGCCCGCGGCCUAUCAGCUUGUUGGUGGGGUAAUGGCCUACCAAGGCGACGACGGGUAGCCGGCCUGAGAGGGCGACCGGCCACACUGGGACUGAGACACGGCCCAGACUCCUACGGGAGGCAGCAGUGGGGAAUAUUGCACAAUGGGCGGAAGCCUGAUGCAGCGACGCCGCGUGAGGGAUGACGGCCUUCGGGUUGUAAACCUCUUUCGACAGGGACGAAGCGCAAGUGACGGUACCUGUAGAAGAAGCACCGGCCAACUACGUGCCAGCAGCCGCGGUAAUACGUAGGGUGCGAGCGUUGUCCGGAAUUACUGGGCGUAAAGAGCUUGUAGGCGGUUUGUCGCGUCGUCUGUGAAAACUCACAGCUCAACUGUGAGCUUGCAGGCGAUACGGGCAGACUUGAGUACUGCAGGGGAGACUGGAAUUCCUGGUGUAGCGGUGAAAUGCGCAGAUAUCAGGAGGAACACCGGUGGCGAAGGCGGGUCUCUGGGCAGUAACUGACGCUGAGAAGCGAAAGCGUGGGUAGCGAACAGGAUUAGAUACCCUGGUAGUCCACGCCGUAAACGGUGGGCGCUAGGUGUGGGUUUCCUUCCACGGGAUCCGUGCCGUAGCUAACGCAUUAAGCGCCCCGCCUGGGGAGUACGGCCGCAAGGCUAAAACUCAAAGGAAUUGACGGGGGCCCGCACAAGCGGCGGAGCAUGUGGAUUAAUUCGAUGCAACGCGAAGAACCUUACCUGGGUUUGACAUACACCGGAAACCUGCAGAGAUGUAGGCCCCCUUGUGGUCGGUGUACAGGUGGUGCAUGGCUGUCGUCAGCUCGUGUCGUGAGAUGUUGGGUUAAGUCCCGCAACGAGCGCAACCCUUGUCCUGUGUUGCCAGCACGUAAUGGUGGGGACUCGCAGGAGACUGCCGGGGUCAACUCGGAGGAAGGUGGGGACGACGUCAAGUCAUCAUGCCCCUUAUGUCCAGGGCUUCACACAUGCUACAAUGGGCGGUACAGAGGGCUGCGAGACCGUGAGGUGGAGCGAAUCCCUUAAAGCCGUUCUCAGUUCGGAUCGGGGUCUGCAACUCGACCCCGUGAAGUUGGAGUCGCUAGUAAUCGCAGAUCAGCAACGCUGCGGUGAAUACGUUCCCGGGCCUUGUACACACCGCCCGUCACGUCAUGAAAGUCGGUAACACCCGAAGCCGGUGGCCCAACCC